rnacentral:rRNA from 1 species
CUCGUAGGCGGUUUGUCACGUCUGCUGUGAAAUCCCGAGGCUCAACCUCGGGCCUGCAGUGGGUACGGGCAGACUGGAGUGCGGUAGGGGGGAAUGGAAUUCCUGGUGUAGCGGUGGAAUGCGCAGAUAUCAGGAGGAACACCGAUGGCGAAGGCAGUUCUCUGGGCCGUAACUGACGCUGAGGAGCGAAAGCGUGGGAGCGAACA